CUAAAAUACUGAUGCAGGCAUUCAACAAACAAUUCGGAACUUUUUAAAAGUAGGAUAUGCCAAAAGUGUUGUUGAAUCCAAGGAAAAGGAAGAAGAAUCUGGGAGGGUCUUGAUGCAUAUGAAGGAUAGGUUUUCAACAUUAUGUAGCAAUUAUUCUAAUUCAAGAAGAAAAUUGUGAAUAGGAAAAGAAGACAAAAGUUUUACACAUAGCCCUCUUGGAUCGACCCUUUAGGGUGGGGCUCAGGGUAAAUAUUUAAUGGGAAAGAGGGGGUAGCUAUAAUGGAAAGUGUUGCUGAUGUUUUGGAAUUUUUUUA